AACGAACGCUGGCGGCAUGCCUAACACAUGCAAGUCGAACGAAGCCUUCGGGCUUAGUGGCGCACGGGUGCGUAACACGUGGGAAUCUGCCCUUCGGUUCGGAAUAACAGUUAGAAAUGACUGCUAAUACCGGAUGAUGACGUAAGUCCAAAGAUUUAUCGCCGAAGGAUGAGCCCGCGUAGGAUUAGGUAGUUGGUAGGGUAAUGGCCUACCAAGCCGACGAUCCUUAGCUGGUCUGAGAGGAUGAUCAGCCACACUGGGACUGAGACACGGCCCAGACUCCUACGGGAGGCAGCAGUGGGGAAUAUUGGACAAUGGGCGAAAGCCUGAUCCAGCAAUGCCGCGUGAGUGAUGAAGGCCUUAGGGUGUAAAGCUCUUUUACCAGGGAUGAUAAUGACAGUACCUGGAGAAUAAGCUCCGGCUAACUCCGUGCCAGCAGCCGCGGUAA
rnacentral:rRNA from 1 species